rnacentral:lncRNA from 1 species
CACACAUGGGCUUCGUACUCUUCAGCCACUGGAUCUCCGUUUUGUCAUUGCAUAUUGAACUGAAGUGGAUUCAGAACAUCACUGCAGUGAAAGUGAAAAGACAGAGACCCUCAAGGCACAGAAAGAUCAGCAGGAUUAUAGUUACAGAAGGCGAAAUAUCACUGCAUUCAAACCACUGCCCACGUUUCAUCUGGAGAUGAACUGGAGCCCGCAAAGGACUAGCGUGGCGCUGAUGACAGAGCUUUGUACCAAGUGAAGGGCACAAAAAACCCUCUGCUUCUUUCCUCCUACGCAAUUGUGCACCCAGGGCAGUGCUGAUAUAUUUCCCAAUACCUCUUUUGCAAGUCCUGCAGUGCAGUGGGCAUGCUGCGCUUGAUACAGCGGCACUGUGGGUGCUUGUAGAUCACUUCUUCCGGCUUCAGCUGCAAACUCUUCUACCUAUUCUUUAUUAUCACCGCCUUUGGGGACUGCCUCUGGGGUAGGUGAGCAGGGUCCUUAACCGAGAGGCAAAGCGAGCACCUCUUGCAUUAAAAAGACCUCGUGGACCCCCGAGUACCGGAAGUCCUUGGAGCGCAGGAGCGUGGCAAUCCGCAUUCGCGACCGGAAGCUACGUCAUGAAGGCGCCGGUCUUGCUGCGCUGUGAGGGUGAACCAGGCCCGUCGUCGGAGGAAGAGGCGGACCAUUUUCAUUUUCAGUCCAGAGAGAAUGAAGUUCGACAUGCCUGAGACUGUGUUCUGAAGACCGCAUAGUUUCCUCGCGCACAUCGCAAAUGAUUUCUAAACAUUACUAGAAUAUUUUGCGCCUUUUCUUCGGGAUCUUAAGGUGCAUACUGCCCUGUGUGAUAGGAUAACGAAGCACAGGUGAGGUCGCCACAUGCUGCUAUGCUGCUGUCCUGCCCGGGAGUGGGGGCACUGGGAAGGAGGCGGCCGCCUAGCAGACAGGAGAGCCGGGUCCAGCCUCCGUGAGCAUUAAUUAACGUGUGACUCAAAUGACGGGCCUGCAGCAGUCAAGCUUUUGCCAAGAUAACUGGUGAAAGUUCAGAAGAGCCAUCUAGCUGACCAGUCCCUGAACAUGGACACAUGGUGAUACUGACUAGCCGAAGGUGGAGCCAGAACCCAUUCAUACCAGAGAGCCUGACCAGUUACAACCUACAGAGCAGCUGGGAGAGAGAAGGAAAGUCUCUUUCAUGGCAUGAAAAUGAAGAUCCAGAAAUUGCACAUGAAACCUGCAAAUGAAUGUAUCUUCAAAACUGAGGAAAGAAAGGAGAUGAGUGAUCUGGGAGAUGUCGCAUAGAGGGAAUUGACAAAAACUGGAGAGAAUAAAGUUUGAAAAGGAAGAGCUGUCAAGGAGGACAACCAGGUUUCCCAUCUGAGAGACCAGGUAAUGACUGAACUCAUGAACUGAGUAAAUGAUAUUCUACUGGAGAGGGAGAGGGUAGAGAGAUGAAUUCAAUUUUACUCAUAACAAAUGGCCAAGAUUUCACUGCUGUAAUACCAACACUAUCUCACCUGAAAUGAUUUCACUAUUUGGCUCCUAAAGAUAGCAGUGCAAAAAGGUUCCAAAUUUAUUUGUGUAUUUGAACAAUUAAGCUGUUUUUUUUUUAAAAAAAUACACAAAGAAUCAUAUUAUGUAAAGGUAAAAGAACCAAAAAACAACAUCACCUGAACGAUUUAUCUAUAAUGUAUGGAUCUUACCCUCAACAUAAGCCCCAAUGGAACAUUUCGGCUCCAUAAAAUCGGGACACUCCAGACAUAGUCUAAUAAUCCUUAGCUACUAUCAGACUGUUAUUAGCCUCAGGCUGAGCCCAUAAAUGCACAACAAAGUCAAGUAUGGUAAAUACAAAAGAUAAGUCUAAGAAAAAGAAAUCCCAAACAUUCUGGCUCAAUUAUAAAAUAUUUCAGACAAAAGCAGAAGUCAAAUAUAUUUCUUCUUGAGUGUCUCCCACAGAACACAGGUAAAUAGAUGACACUCUUGAAAUACCGCUUGAAUGUGUUUAUGAAUUAUCUAGAUAACUGAUUGUUUUCAUAUUUAUGCUGCUUACGUGAAAUGUAGGUUAUUAAAGUGUUCUGUGUGUGUAUCUAAACAAUAUCACAUGUUCGUGUCUCCUCACUAUGGUCAUUCACACAUUUAUGAAUCUGUGAAUCUAUAUAUGACAAUUAAUGCUGACCUAGAAAGCUUUCCCUUUCUUGGCCCAAAGGGUACACUAAUUCGAUUCAAGGGAUCUAAUAUGUUGCAGGAAACAUUUUUGAAAAGAUUUCUCAACAUAAUUUGUUGCUUUGGCUAUCAUCAGACUUGGUUAAUCUAAAUCUUAGUUUGCAAUUUCAUUCUCUUGUGCAAAUGUGUCUAAAAACUCGAAAUGUAAUGCCACACUAUUUUCAACUGUCUGGUUACUGUUUAAAUAUAGCAGGCAAGAAAGCCAUGAAAAUAGACCAAUCAAACACAAAUGAACAGAGUCUGACUAAAUUCUUCAUCUUUAUUAAAAUACAUGUUUCAUUAUUUUCAAAUGAACUUUUUUUGCUGUUAAAAGAUAUUUUGUGAAAUUAUUUAUGAUGUUUUCAGUGAAAGGAUCUCCAUUUUAUACCUUCCACUUAUAAAGAGCCUAUAUUACGCAUAAAGUGAGGUUUAUCUCAAGGUUACUUUCCCGCUGAUAGACUGCUCACUGCUGACAACAGGUCAGUGACUCAUGAAACUACUAGGCUAGUUUUCACGUAAUACUCCAAUUAAGCGAAACAAUGCGAUGCAUCUACCUUGUUUUCAUGUUCCAUAAUGAUGCUAAUAUAGUGUGUGAAAAUCCACUAACGAGAUCCACCUGAAGAAAUGACUACCUCCCACAAAAAUGUCUGAUCAUGCCUUUAGUGAUAUUUUGUAAGCUUUAACGGAUCCCCAGAAUCCGACCCUGUAAAUAGCCAACCUGCCACUCAUUUACUGAGGAAAGUGGGUGAGAGUCAAUCUUUGACAAAGAUGAACAAAAAACAGCCAACUUCUUUUAGAUGUGAAAUGUAUUUUUCCUUGAACUCCAACUCUUUCAUAAAUAUUUCCUUUGACAGAUUUUUUUUCAUUCCCCUAUAUUUCUCUGUUUGUGGUUAAUGGUGCAGAACUAUCACUCUUUUAAAUGUCAAAUUAUCAUUUCUUAUUCAUACUUCUUGACAAUUGCUACCCUCUAAAUAUAUUAUUUAGAAUUAUUUGCAGAGUGUAGCAAAAUGGUAUAGCUGCUAUUCUGUUCAAAGUUUUAUACAAAGAUAAGUUUUCUUAAACCAAUUUUUGUUCUCAGUAUGGGGUACUGCAUUAUAACACACUGCUAGAAGAUUAUUAUGAAAUGUCAAACAUCUAUUAGAGCCUAUAUUGCUUUUCAAAAUAAUAUAUAUUUGUUAAACAUCUACUGUGAGUAUUGCACUAUAUUAUAUAUUAUAGCAGUACAUAGUCUGGAGAAGACAAGUUCCUGACCUUGAGGAGUCUGUCACCAAUCUCCUAGCUGGAUAACAAUAAAGGCAUAGUCUACUUAAAAAAAAAAAAAAAA